GACAGAGGGUGCAAACGUUGUUCGGAAUUACUGGGCGUAAAGCGCGUGUAGGCGGCCAUCUAAGUCGGGCGUGAAAUCCCACAGCUCAACCGUGGAACUGCGUCCGAUACUGGAUGGCUUGAGUGUGGGAGAGGGAUGCGGAAUUCCAGGUGUAGCGGUGAAAUGCGUAGAUAUCGGGAGGAACACCAGUGGCGAAGGCGGCGACCUGGACGGACACUGACGCUGAGACGCGAAAAGCGUGGGGAGCAAACAGGG
rnacentral:rRNA from 1 species